CAUUGGCACAUUCUGGGAUUGAGAGGGAAGGAAACUCAGAUAAAACAAAGAGCAUGUGUUCCACAUGUUAAUCGUUUUCCACAUGCUUAGACUAAUUAAAAAAGUCCACCAUUGAUUUCUCCCUCUCCACCGUGUCGGAGCUCACCACCGGCGGCAAUGGAGCAUCAAACAUCAAAACUACCUAUGCCAUUCCACUCUAAUUCUCAAGCUCUACUCGAAUCAAACACUGAAUUCUACUAAAACCUCAAGAAUUCCCCAAAUCGAGCAGAGACUAUUAUGAACCCUAACAUCAAGAAAUUAAAUUAAAUGCUUCUAUAGAGGAAUCAAAGCCCCUGAUGUUAGGGCUUUGAUUUCUUGUCCCCUAAGCUACAUAGUGGUAACAAGGAUAAAGCCAAACAGUGAAGAAACGUCACUUACUUUCCGGAGACGAAGACUUGAGAUUAGAGGAAAUGAAGAUGUUUGAACCAGCUUCAGUUGUAGGUUUGAGCUAUUUUGGCAUUGCAGUGCAAACAUGGUGAUGCUGAUGCAAGGCAUGGCUAACAGAAUUUGCAGUGUAGGUUGUGUCAAGAUACAUUGUAUUGCUGAUGUGAUGAUGAUUUGUAUUGCCAUGCUAUUAUUUUGUGAUGCCCCUGGCUUGGUCGGCUACAUGAUGAAUGUUAUAGCUUUACCAUUGUAUGCUUUGAAUGAUGUUAUAUUAUGCUACUUGUGAUGUUGAUGUCAGGCCUGUUAUGAUUGUGUGUCAAAUGUUAUUUGAUGUAAAUUGUAUCCUGCUUGUAUCAUGAUAAAUUGUAUUGCCAGUUUGCUUAUGUUAUGAAAUGAGGUUAAAUUAGGUCAAUUAGGUGGUAGCUAGGGCUUGUGAAAAAGAAUGCAGACUAAUUUUGUGCAUAGGUUCAUGUUACCAUGUUGAUGUUGGUUGGUACCAUCUUACUGAAGUGAGUGUAUGCCUGCCCAAAUGAACCCUGCAUUGCUUGAUUUGCAUCAUGCUUGUUACUUGUUUUCGUUAACAUGCUCAAUGUUUUCCUGGUGCUUAGACCAUCUAUGCAUGUUUGUAUGAAAUGCAUUGUAUGCUUGACAAAUGCAUGUGUGUAGGCUAAUUGAUGCAGGGAUGGCUUGGCAAUUGGACAUGGUUUCAAGGCAUGGCAAAGUUUCAGCGCAUGUGAGUAAACUUGGUGCAAAUUGGCUUUCUUGUUCAUGAAGCAAAUGAUCAUGGAAUCACAUGGAAGAAUGAAGAUGCCAUAGGCACUGGGGUUUAAGGGAUGGACAAAUAGGUUAGUUGAGUUUGGUCAACUGGUUGACCAAAAAGUCAACAGUUGACCAAAAAGUCAACAGUUGACCAAAAGUCAAUUUCUUACAAUGUAGUAGACAAUGUAUUUUCUUUUGGUCAACUGGUUUAAGGGAUGUAUUUUCUUUUGUAGUAGACAAUGUAAAUGUUGUAUGAAUGAAUGGAUGGGCCUUCAUUUGAGUAGAAA